ensembl:lncRNA
GGCCUCAGGGCAGGACCAGCUGCAAAUGAACUCAGCAGGGCGAGGCCGCCAGGGCUCUCAGGGAAAACAUGGCGGUGACCCGGCCCUGAGGUCCCUGGAGAGUCAGCCACACAUGGGCCGAGGGGGCCGAGGCAGGCGAUUCCCUGAAAACGGCCUGACUGUGGAGUGCAGAGGGCCUGGGUGUGUGGACAUGGCUCCACAUUCUGAAGACUCGGGAAGCUGCCUUCCUGUCUUCAGGGCUGGAAAUCCACGAGUGAGUGCGUGCACAUUACUGAAUUGCCAAUGCAUCACACUAACUCCAUGUGAUGCUCCUGACAACACCAUGAAUUCAGUGAAAUCAGCUCCCUUUGUUCAGAUGAGGAAACAGAUCCUGGAGCUGUUUAUAAGAUUCAGAGCAGAUCUUCCCGACCCCAAGGGUCAAGUCAUGGAAAUUCAUUCUAAUGCUGCCUCCCGGGACCUUGAGUGUCGUGUCUCCUGAGUCACACGUGUUUACCCUCUGCACUCGCCACUUCUCCGCUUUGACCUCCUGGAGGUGGAAGGAUGGAACCAAGGCCAGGUCAAGACAAAGGCCUGGGUCUCCUGCUGCGCCAGGUCGGCUCCUCUCAGCGUUUCACAGAACCUGCUGGAUG